rnacentral:rRNA from 1 species
CAGUAGCCACGGUAAUACGUAUGUCACAAGCGUUACCCGGAUUUAUUGGGCGUAAAGCGCGUCUAGGUGGUUAUGCAAGUCUGAUGUGAAAAUGCAGGGCUCAACUCUGUAUUGCGUUGGAAACUGUGUAACUAGAGUACUGGAGAGGUAAGCGGAACUACAAGUGUAGAGGUGAAAUUCGUAGAUAUUUGUAGGAAUGCCGAUGGGGAAGCCAGCUUACUGGACAGAUACUGACGCUAAAGCGCGAAAGCGUGGGUAGCAAACAGGAUUAGAUACCCGCGUAGUCCCUGUCUCUUAUACA